rnacentral:rRNA from 1 species
AACGAACGCUGGCGGCAUGCCUAACACAUGCAAGUCGAACGAGACCUUCGGGUCUAGUGGCGCACGGGUGCGUAACGCGUGGGAACCUGCCCUUAGGUUCGGAAUAACUCCCCGAAAGGGGUGCUAAUACCGGAUAAUGUCUUCGGACCAAAGAUUUAUCGCCUUUGGAUGGGCCCGCGUUGGAUUAGCUAGUUGGUAGGGUAAAAGCCUACCAAGGCGACGAUCCAUAGCUGGUCUGAGAGGAUGAUCAGCCACACUGGGACUGAGACACGGCCCAGACUCCUACGGGAGGCAGCAGUGGGGAAUAUUGGACAAUGGGCGAAAGCCUGAUCCAGCAAUGCCGCGUGAGUGAUGAAGGCCUUAGGGUUGUAAGCUCUUUUACCCGGGAUGAUAAUGACAGUACCGGGAGAAUAAGCUCCGGCUAACUCCGUG